GAUGAAGAACGUAGCGAAAUGCGAUAAGUAAUGUGAAUUGCAGAAUUCAGUGAAUCAUCGAAUCUUUGAACGCACAUUGCGCCCUCUGGUAUUCCGGGGGGCAUGCCUGUUCGAGCGUCAUUACAACCCUCAGGCCCCCGGGCCUGGCGUUGGGGAUCGGCGGAGCCCCCCGUGGGCACACGCCGUCCCCCAAAUACAGUGGCGGUCCCGCCGCAGCUUCCAUCGCGUAGUAGCUAACACCUCGCGACUGGAGAGCGGCGCGGCCACGCCGUAAAACACCCAACUCUUCUGAAGUUGACCUCGAAUCAGGUAGGAAUACCCGCUGAACUUAAGCAUAUCAAUAAGCGGAGGA
rnacentral:misc_RNA from 1 species